rnacentral:rRNA from 1 species
AUUAUGUGUUGUAAAAAGGUUUAGGUUCGGGAGGUAGUCCAGCCUUCUUCG